rnacentral:lncRNA from 1 species
UUAAUAUUUGGUUUAGGAUCACUCACCGCAUUGAAGCUUCUGGUUAGAAGAGUCGAAAUAGCAAUAGCUAUCAUCAUCUGGACAAAGAUUCUGACAGGCGAGUUUUAUCCAUGAAAUCUCGAAUCCAUAGGCGAGUGCGGUGUGCAUGGAAGAGUAGGAAUGGUAAUCGAAAGUGGAGAGAGAAGUGGGAGCAACAAGCUUUACCUCACACCCAACUUCUAAGUCCUCAGCUUUUAGGUCUCCACCAAUUGCAUAUGAAUACCCCUUCCCCUCCCACUUCACCCACUCUCCACUCUCCACAUACUUCCCUUUCUCUCUCACCCAAUCAUUACAAUUCACAAACACUAUAUGCGAGAAACUUCCUUAUUGGGAAAUGAGGAUAGAAAAAUUGUUUGUUUCCCAUAAAGUAAAGAAGGAAAGAAAGAUACAAAAGAAAAGAGAGGAAGAUGAAAGGGAAGCUAAAGAAAAAGAAAAACCAAGUGAGGGGUGGUGUGAAUCUAGAAAGAAUGAGGAAUAUCUUAUAACACCCCUUACAAGCAUAUUCAAAAUGGAAAAUCAAGAGAAAAUCCUUGGGAAACAAAAGGCGUGGGAAAAGAGUGUUCCUUCUCACAAAGUCAUUCAACAAGAAGUAAAAGUUGAAAAUACCUUUGAAAACAUGUUUCUUGUUGAACAACCUAGCCUUACCUUUUGUAAAGGAACACUUGCAAGCAUAGUGAAAAAAGAAGAAUCCUUAAAAGAGACUUGCAUAGAUAAAGAUGUAGUGGAUUAUUUCUCAUAUGUGCUAGGAUAUCACCAAGUGAAUGUCAAGUUAUCUAUAAGCAUCUACAAAAACAAAUUUUUAUGUGAGGUAGUGCCUAAAGAAACUUGUCAUGUCUUAUUGAGACAACCAUUGCAAAGUGUACAAAUUCUCAUAAACAAUGGUUGUAACAACGAGACUAUCUUUACACAUAAGAGAAAAAUUCUUCAUGAAGGAGAACUCAUGGGCCAAAUUAGAGUUGAUAAAACUCUAGAGCUUUUAAAAGGAAAACUUUUGUCCCCCAUGAGAAAAGAUGUUCAAAGACAUUACCCUAGAUACAUAUCUUGUUUUAAAACUACACCUAAGCCAAUGUCUCAUGAACUCUAUACUCCUUCACCUUUUGCAAAUGAUCCUUGGGAAGACACAAAUUUCAUAUUAGAGCUUCCUAGGACAACAAAAGGUUUUGAUUCCAUUUUCAUGGAUAUGGAUAAACUCUUCCUUAGAGAAGUGACAAAUCUUCAUGGUUUAUCAUCAAACAUAGUGUUGGCUAGAGCUCCAAAUUUUGAAAAUCAUCAUUUGAGGAUUCUCUUGGAAAAACUUGAAACUAAGUUAUACACUUUAAAUUCUUAUCAUCCUCAAAAGAAUGGUCAAAAUACAUUUGAAAACCUAGCUCUUUUUACUAUGCCUAAAGAAAUCAUGAAAGACAACCACAAUUCUUGGGAUGAGUAUCCUUUUCCUAAUAAGCAUGCAUACAAUGGAGUAGUCCACAAGACUACAAAUAUUUCUACAUUUGAAAUUGCAUGUGGACUUAAUCCUCUCUCGCUUUUUAAGUUGUUACCCUUUCCUAAAGGUAUUGUGCCUAAGGAAAAGGUAACCAAUAUUGAAAAUUUUCAAAUACAUAAGAGGAUUAGAGGACACAUAAAACCAUCAAAAGGAAAAUAUUGUGAAAAGUUGCCAAAAACAAAAGAAAAACAAAAAUGGCAACUUCAUACAAUUAAGUUCUCUCCAAUUGCUCACACUAACUCAUUUGCUUUGUUUCAAGAUUCCCAUAGAUGGACAUUUGAUCCGGGAGGACAAACCUUGACGAAGCAAGAGGCUGCUAUUCGAGAUCAAAUCUAUAGAUCUGGGGAUAUAUCUUCUCAAGAAGGAGGAGAUGAUGGACACCAUCCAGCCACAUCCAUCCCCCUAGAUGAAGAAAAAGCAUUGGAUUUGAGGAUAAAUCCUUUUCAAGAGGGAGGAGAUGAUGGAAGAGGCCCCAACACCAACCCUUUGAGAGGCCACCAAAAUGCUACCUUGAGGCAACCACUAGAGUCAUAGUCAAAGAGGGGUCAAGAGGACACAUUUUACAUGUCAUAGACUCUAGUGUGUCAUAGUUUUUCUUAUUUUCUAGUCAAAGUAGCAUAGUUUAAAUAUUUUUGUAAAUGUGUUGAAACAUGCAAAGUGGUACCUAAAAUGCUAACCUAAGUUUAAUUAGAGUUUCCUACUCCUAAUUAAACUUAGGUCCAUCCCACAAUUAGCCUAAGUGGAGCAUAAGGUUCUAGAACUCCUAGCACAUCUAAGAGGUUUUGUAGAUCAUCUAGCGGUUCUAGUGAAAUCGUUUAGCUACUCCUCUAACAAGACUAUAUAGCCUGUUUGCUAUGUUUUUUUUUUUUAUUUAUAUGUUUAUCUGUUGUAAUCUUAAGAGUGUGUGCAUCUCAUAUUCUGUUUUCCAGAAAUUUUGUUUUUCUUUUUUUUGUUUCUUGCUCUUGCGAGUUGCGCUUUUGUUUCAUUAAUCCGUGUGACUGUGUGUGUCAUGAAUUACCAUUUUUAAUAUGCUAGCAGAGUAGGUUGAAUGACCUGCUUUGCCUCCAAUGUUGUUUCAGUUCUUUUUCUUUCUUGUUGAAUAAUUGUUUUCUCUUGUAGACUAUUUUCUUCUUAUUGUCUUCUUCAUGUAUUUUUCUGAAACAGAAUACAGAAAGCAAGGUUUUGUUAUGAAUCUUUGCAAUAAUCCCGCAAGUUCAUAUUACUUGCAUCUUGGAGAAAAUUCUAGAACUGCGUUUAUCUCUCCUCAACUCAAUGGAGAAAAUCCCUUCACAUAAAGGGAAAAUUGUGGUAUUAAAGUUGACACCUCUCCUAAUUAAGUUUGAUGUUGUUGGUACUUAUCCCAUCAGAACCCUCCAAAAAAAGUUUUGAGCAUUCUAGAGUGCUCUGACAUUCUCAAAAAAAUUGAUUAAAGUAUUGUUAGCACUCACAUAGGUAUUUUUUAAUAUAGCAUAUGAUGACUUGAAAUAGAGAAUAACCUAGUAAUUUUUGUUUAAGGGUUACCUCUCCUAACCAUCCUUUCAAUAAGUGAUUGAUAGAUGUUAUUUAUUCACUUAUUUUUCUAAAUAUCCUUUCUGACGUUAUCGGUAAGUUCGAUAUUAAGCCUUUAAGGUUCGACCCGAGGCUUAGUAGGUUGUGUGGCGUUAUAGGUAAGUUUUGAUAUUAAGUCUCUAAGGCUCGGUCUGAGGCUAGUGGGAUGUAUGGCAUUAUAGGUAGAUUCUGAUCUAUAUAACGAUAAUUUGGAUUGAACGAGAGCCAAUCCUAGAAAAAUUCCUACGAUUAUAUAUUUUAUAGAUGAAUCCCAUUAAUGUCAUGUUUAAGAUAGUUUAAGGCAAGAAUAAAAUGUUAUAAAGGUAAUUUUGUCAUUUAAUAGUGAAUAAGGACUUAAAGUACGAUCAAAUACAAGAAAUGGGCGGAUCAAUAUAGCAUAAAAAGGAUAUACAAGGUAAAAAAAAAGGCAGAAUAAAAAUUGGGGUGAAUUGUUUUCACAAUAUUUUCGUAAUAUUGGAGUCAAUUAAUUGAUUGAUCAGUUCAACUAAUUAUAAAAAGCACAAUAAGUAUAUAUUCAAAAAUUAAACUAGUUGUUACGAGAAUUCAACCAAUUGAUUUAAACGCAAUAAGUAGAAAGUUAUUGAUAAAACAAAUAUCAGAGUAAGAGAGAGAUUGCACAGGAGAUUGCACAGGAGAUUUAUAUUUGUUCACUCUUACAUCCAUCAAGAGCUACAUCCAGUCCUCAGCAAAUUACUAAGAAUUCACUAAAGCAAACACACAAGGUUUACAAGAACACAAAACACUCUUAACCACAUACAAAAUUCAGAAACCCUAUCUGAAUCUGUUUACACCAAAUUGCAGUGAAAACAAUAAGAUUUGAAUACACCUCGAUUAUUACAAAUGAAGCACAAGAAAAAUGUAAACCCAGAAACCUUCUUUACCAAACAAGAAUGAUCCAAGAAGCAAACUCAAACUCCAAGAAUGAUUUUAAAACUUUCUAUUUUUUCUCUCUUAUGAAAAUCGUUUUUUGAAAUAAUCAGAUUACAUCCUUAUAUAAGGUAAUAAUGAUUGUAUAAGAAUUUUGAUCAUUUAAUGAAAACAAUUGUUUCAAUUAAAAAUGCAUUGAUUAAUAUAACAGAAUUAUGUUAAAAACAUUUAAUUGAUUUUCUUUAAAUAGAUGAAAUCAACAAAUUUUAAACCAGUUCUUUUAUCGAAAUAACUUAUUGAUUUCACUUAACAAAAAAGACAAACUAAAAGACAAAUCAUUUUUAAAUCCUUAAAAACCGUAAGUGUUUUAAACCGGAUUGAUACGAUAAAUCAAUAUGUUAAAAAUACUUACUAUAGUCAACAAACAUGAAUAGAAGUAAUUUCAACUUAUUAAUAUAUGAAUCAACUCAUUAAAAAAGACAGAUUUAGAAAACAAAACUUUUCAAGGAGAUUACUAUUCAAGUAACUUGGAUCAUUGUGUAAUGAAAAGUUAUAUAUAAAAAGCCAUGUUUGUUGAACUUUAAGCUCUAGAACGCAACAACACAUGGUAGAUGAUUUCUCUUCCACCGGGCACAAACCAAUCGGUUGUCGUUGGGUACAUAAAAUCAAGUAUAAUUUUGAUGGGACCAUUGAACGAUAUAAAGCUCGUUUGGUCGCCAAGGGCUUCACCCAGGUUGAAGGUAUAGACUAUAAGGAAACUUUUUCUCCUACUGCCAAGCUCACCACUAUUCGUUGUUUAUUAAUUGUUGCUUCCCGCAACUAGUAUACACAUCAACUUGAUGUGAACAAUUCAUUCAUUCAUGUGAAAUUACAAGAAGAGGUGUAUAUGACUCCAACUCCUGGUCUUCGCCCAUAGGGGGAGAAUCCGGUAUGUCUGCUUCACAAAUUAAUUUAUGGUUUAAAACAAGCAUCACGAAAUUGGUUCUCAACUUUUGCAACUACAGUUAAAUCUACUGGUUACAUACAAUCCAAGGCAGAUUAUUCACUUUUUACUAAAUCUCAAGGUAAAAAGUUUACUGUUAUUCUCAUUUACGUCGAUGACAUCCUUAAAAAAAUCUAUUUAAUGUAAAAUCAUUUGGAUUAAAGCUUACUAAAUAUUACUCUUUUGGUCAUGGAAAAGUUAUGCAAUCCAACACAUGAAAAAUAGAAAAGACAAGUAUUGUCUACACAAAAAUUGUAGAAUGUCAUCAUGCAUAUUCAGGUGGAAUGAGUUCAUGAUUCCGCAUUUGCAAACUUUGGAAAAAAAAAUAAAUUUAGUAACCCAUUUGUUCUAACUUUAUAGAUGUAAAAUAUUUAAUAGAGACAAAGAAGUGAAAAAUAUUAUAGAUGUACUUCUACUUAAAAUGACAAACAAGCUGAAUGUAAAACAAAUUUUUAUUAUACAUAACUAAAUAGUAUGCUUCACUAAAGGAUGAAUUGCAUGUAUACUUAUACUUUACAUGAAAUAAUUAGGAGAAGGAGUUCAAUUCAUUCGAUGUCGAGUUUAUUGUUUCACCAUCUCUACUCAAUUCAUCUAGAAAUAAAGCAGGCUUUGGAGGUAUUUCCAAGUCUUCAAUGUCUCCUUCAAGCAUUUCCACUACUCUAUUCAUUGAGGGUCGAUCGCUUGGUUUCAAUUGUAUGCACCAAAGAGACACUAUGAUCAUUUUCUUUGCUAUUAUCUUUUCCUCUUUAGUCAAAUAUUCCUUAUCUAUAUCUUCCUCAUCUUUGAUAUGAUCAUAGAUCCAAAGUGGAAAGUAAAGUUGACUUGAGUGGUCUACAUGGGGAUUUAGAUUCUUCCUCUUGCUCGCCAUCUCCAUCAAAAGCAUUCCAAAGCUAUAAACAUCAGCUUUAUGGGAUAUUCCUCCAAUAUUUUUGUAAAAUAGUUCUGGAGCCAUAUAUCCAAUGGUUCCUCUUGCUAUAGUCAUUGUGACGAUACUAUUAUCUAUUGGAUAUAACUUUGCCAAUCCAAAGUCAGAAACCUUAGGGAUAAAGUUUUCAUCUAGUAAGAUGUUAUGAGGUUUGAUGUCAAAAUGCAAAAUCUGCAUCUCACACCCAUGGUGGAGAUAAGCAAUCCCACGAGCCACUCCAAUUGAUAUAUUAUAUACAUUUUCAUAGCUUAAAUGUAUAUUUCUCUCUUUUGAGAAAAUAAAUUUAUCAAGAGAUCCAUUGGGCAUAAAUUCAUAAACAAGAGCACGCUUUGAGCCACUAACACAAAAUCCAAUUAACCGUACCACAUUUUGAUGAUGUAUUCUUCCAAUAGUCGCAACUUCAUUGAUAAAAUCUUGUCCAUUUGCUUUGGAUUUGCCUAACAUUUUGAUGGCCACAGAAGGCCCACUGCACAACUUUGCCUUAAAGACAUAGCCAAAUCCUCCUUCACCUAACUUCUCUUUGAAACCAGCAGACAUUUUCUUGAUUUCCUUAUAUGAAUAUCUAAUAGGUGCCAAGCUAUUUUGUUGAAGGUAAUUUUCAAUAUUUUCAUACAUUGAUGUAUGUCUUUUUCUCCAUUUACAUAUAAAAAUAACAAUUAAAAAUGGCAAUCCAAACAAAAGUUUGUAGACCCAUAAUAUAGAGAUAUACAUGAGAAUACCUGUAAUAAAUUUUUACUUUAGUGACACUUAUACUAUAAAAUGCAACAAGGUAUUUGUUAAAGUAAAUUUUCGUUCAUAAAGUCCAAACAUGACAUAUCUAUUUACUUGGUAACAUUACAAAAAGAGUAAAUUUAAUGUUUAGCAUAAACAAUUAUCAAUAAAUUUCUUUUUUUUAUGUUACUCUUUAUAUAAAUAAAUUUUUUCUGUAACAUUAAUGUGUCCUAAAACCUAAUUCAGUGAUGGUUGUAAAAUAUAAAAAAAAAACAGAUUUUUUUUAAAUAAUUUAUUUGUUUCUAUAAACAUUUUAAAUUCAAUUUGUGUUUCUUUAACUUUUUUAACGUAUUUACUAUAACUUUUUGUUAUUUACUACAACUUUUUGUCUUCUCUUAUUUCCUAACAUUAGUUCCUACAGGUUCGAUAUUCAUCAUUAAAAACAAAUUAUUACUUCUAAUUCGGUACACUUGCUGAAUUAAAGAGUAAUCAACUAUCCCAAAUAUUGAAUAAAUAACUUUCUUAAAGAGUAAAAAUCACAAUAUAAAAAAUGUUAUCAAAUAAAAAUUAGUCAUAAUAGAAAUUUCUUAACAGACUAUAAUCUAUUGUUUUGCAAAUGUUGAGAGGGAAAAUACCUCGAAGAUUUGAGUCUGGGAUAUUUGACAUGGUGAACCCUUAAAAGAUAAAGUGCAAUCUUGUGUAGUAUGAAAAGUUCUUGAAAUAAACUAAAUUAAAAAAUAAGAAAAAAUAAUAAAUUUUUAGAUUACUUAAUAAACUAAAGAUUUACAAAUUUAAUUUAAAAAAUUGAGGUUUACAAUGUAAUUCAUCAUUUGAAGAAAAUCAGAAAAGUGUGUAAUUAAGAUUAUUGUAUAGUAAAAGAAUAGUUUUUUUAAAAUGGAAUGAAUCAAAUGACUGACAAGAACAAUAAAAAUAAGUUUUAAUAGGUUGUUUAAUAAAUUAAAUAUAUUUCAGUAAUUUAAAAUGAAAACGGAUAAUUCAUAUCCAAUUUAAAAUAUUAGAUAUUAUUUACAAUUGUGCCCAAUCAAUACGGAAAUUAAAAUUUAUCUAUUAAAAAAAAAGUUAAACUUUCAACAAUAUUUUUUAGUAUAAUUGUUCUCAUAUAUUACUUUCACCAAACAGUUCAUAUUAUAACCAAUCAUUGAAAGGGUGAAAAUUUUAUAUUAUAACCAAUCAUUGAAAGGGUUGAAAAUUUUAAAACUAAAAUAGAAUUAAAAAUGACAGUUUAAUCUAAUAAAUUCUAAAUCUUAAAUCAUAAACUAUUGUAAAAAAUGCUUGGAAAUUUUUAAAAACAAAAUAAAAUUUUAAAAAAAAAACAGAGAAUUGUAUCUUGAACCGUAGCCAAAUCUUCUAUUUUUUAACAUUUCUGUAAAUGAAAAUUUUAGAACUAUUAAUAAAAGUCUAUUUUAAUCAUUUUUGUGUAAUUAAAGAAUUUAGAAAUUAAGAUGAUAAAAUUGUACCUGGUAUACAGAAUUUUAGCACUUCCAGCAGUGGCAGACUAAAUGAGCCUGAAAUGAAGGAAAAUAUGAAGUUUAGAAUAGUGGUGAUCUCUACAGUUUGAUAAAGGUUAUAGCGGUCAAUAAGUUUAACAGUUACUUAUUUUAAAGAAAAUAAAUGUUUAAUUUAAUGCAUAUGUUCUUAUAAAUACACGUAAAAUAUAAAAGAUACAAAAAUUGGUUUAAACUAAUUGUUUACAAGCUUUUCAGUUAAUUUAAAUGUAUAUUUAGAAGAUUUAAACUACAUGAGUAAGGAGCAUAAUAACGUGCUUAUCUAAAAAAAUUGGUUAAUAUAUUUUGGUUUAGGAUCACUCACCUUUGAUGCAUUGAAGCUUGUGGUUAGAAGAGUCGACAUAGCAAUCUCUAUCAUCAUCUGGACAAUGUUUCUGACAGACGAGUUGUAUCCAUGAAAUCUCGAAUCCAUAGGCGAGUGCGGUGUGAAUGGAAGAGUAGGAAUGGUUAUCGAAAGUGGAGAGAGAAGUGGGAGCAACAAGCUUUACCUCACACCCAACUUCUAAGUCCUCUGCUUUUAGGUCUCCACCAAUUGCAUAUGAAUACCCCUUCCCCUCCCACUUCACCCACUCUCCACUCUCCACAUACUUCUCUUUCUCUCUCACCGAAUGGUUACAAUUCACAAACACUAUAUGCGAGAAACUCAGAGAUUCCCAAUUUAUAGAGGCAUCUAGACCGGCUUGGUAUGGAUUCGAGUGGUAAAAGGAAGUGUAAGUGUCAGAGAAAUUGGAGCGAGAGAGGAAACGGAGAGGAAGGGAGGAGAGAUUAUGGUGCUGCAGAGCAGGAUCAACAACUCUCACUGUGUAGUUCUUGUAGUUUAUUGACUUCACAUGAUAUUGUCCAGAGUACAGAUACAACACCGUAAAGUUAUGCUCACAACCAAGUUCAUACCUUUCCUCACCACACUUUUCUGGGUCGCCUUUUAAUCGAAAUGGAUAACUGAUGUUGCUGAUUUUACCACAGGAAGAAGGGGGACAAACGUGUUCUUGGUGGUCCUUGGUAGCAGAAAUAUGGUGGAGUAGAAGUAGCAGUACCACCAACACUGCUCUCUCUCUCCACAUCAUGUCCAGACUGUUUCUCACUGAAUUCAAGUGCAAACAAAUCCAAGUUAGAUAUUUAUAUUUAAACAUCACACACUGAAUUUAUAGCUAUAAAGGACCACAUUUUUCCUUUUACAAAAUUGUUUGAAGACUUAUGAUACUUAAAACGUAGACUUUGACUCAGAAACCGCGUUAUCUUGUUUCCGCAACUCAUUUUAAUCCAUACAAAAUUUUAAAUAUUCGUGAAGUGCAUGAAUUUUGAUUUCGGUAUUUAAUCAUCUAAUUUUGUUGAUGGUGUUCUUUGAGUUUCUGAAACCAUCCUAAAUUGUUUGUUUUAAAAGCUUAUAUUUUGAAAAAUAAUUUUAAUGACCUUAGAAUUUCUGUGAGUCCCAAAAUAAUGUUUGUUUGGUUAAGAAACUUCAACAUGUGAUAGGUACAUAAAUUGUUUUAGUGAAUUUUUCCCCGAAAAUGGCCUCAUAUGUUUCUUUGUGUUAAUUUCUUGAACAUAUUCUUCUUGGACAUGGGAGCAAGAAAGAGUGUGUGGUGGGAGAACGAAGCACUAACAAUUUUCUGUAUGUGUAAAAGGUAAAGGAGAGGGAAAAACAUAUGGAAGCAAUUCCAAACACGUAACCCAAAAUUCCAGCAUACUUUUCAACUUGUGGCCUUGAAAACUCAAUAAUUAAAAGUGCGUUUCGAAGAAUUUGACGUAGAUCUCCAAAAUUAUAAUGUCGCAAAAAUGUAUAUGACCUUGUGGACUUUGACCUUGAUAAAGUUAAUAAAAGUGAACAACUCAGAGAUAAUUCUUGAUAGAAUUAAACACUUGAGUUACAUAGGAUGAGCCGUGAGAUCCUCACUCGGCUAAUUAGUAAUUGAAAGAAUAAAAAAUCAUUAAGCAAUUUUUUUUGGUAGAAAAGCUAGCAGGAAAUUUCUAAACCAUGUUUUCUGCAUGCAGGUAUCAAAACCCUCAAGUGCAUGUAGUUUCAUUUGAUGUGGUUGUCAUUAAUACUUCAUGAUCCUCUUCAUCUUGUUCGUGAUUACUAUCUUCUUGAGCACAAUUGGAAGCAUGAUUAUCACCUUUUGAUCUGCACUUAUUUGCAUAAUGGCCACGUUUAUGGCAAUUAUAACACUNNNNNNNNNNNNNNNNNNNNNNNNNNNNNNNNNNNNNNNNNNNNNNNNNNNNNNNNNNNNNNNNNNNNNNNNNNNNNNNNNNNNNNNNNNNNNNNNNNNNACAUGGUAGCUAUUUCAGCAAAGGUCGUGGUGGCUAAAAUCAUGGAGGCGCUUGACGCGGGGGACGUGGUCGCGGAGGACGAGGAGGCAUUUAUAAUAAAUCAAAUGUUGAGUGUUAUAAUUGCCAUAAACGUGGCCAUUAUGCAAAUAAGUGCAGAUCAAAAGGUGAUAAUCAUGCUUCCAAUUGUGCUCAAGAAGAUAGUAAUCACGAACAAGAUGAAGAGGAUCAUGAAGUAUUAAUGACAACCACAUCAAAUGAAACUCCAAACAAUCAGACUUGGUAUUUGGAUACAGGUUGCACGAAUCAUAUGUGUGGUCAGAAGGAGCUGUUUGCAGAUUUGGAUGACUCAUUUCGAACAAAAGUGAAAUUCGGUGAUGACAGGUUCGUUCCGGUGAUUGGAAAAUGGUGAAUUCUUAUUACAUUAAAGAAUGGUGAUCACAGGUACAUUUAUGAUGUUUUCUAUGUACCUGACAUGAAAAGUAAUCUGUUGAGUGUGGGACAACUGGCUGAAAAGGGUUACGUGAUGCACAUAGUUGAAAAUAAAUUCUCAAUUUUUGAUAGGUAAUUUGAUUCUUAAAACCUUUUUAUCAAAAAACCGCAUGUUUCCAGUAGAUAUUCAUAUGGGUGAUUUAAAGUGCUUGAAUGUAAUAAUGAAUAAUGAAUCGUGGUUAUGACAUUUACGCUUUGGGCACUUAAAUUUUCAGAGUUUGGAAAAUCUUUCCAAAAGAAAUUUAGUGAAUGGUUUACCCCAUAUUUAUCACCCUAAUCAAUUGUGUGAGGCUUGCAUCUUUGGAAAGAAUCACAGGAUACCAUUUGUUAAGGAGUCUUGGCGUGCAAAAUUUCCUUUGGAGCUUGUUCAUACAGAUGUUUGUGGCCCGAUGAACAUAUCAUCAGUUGGAGGUAAUAAGUAUUUUUUAACCUUUAUUGAUGAUUUUUCAAGGAAAACCUGGAUUUAUGUAUUGAAAAGCAAGGAUGAGGUAUUCCACUGCUUUAAAAUAUUUAAAGCAUUUGUUGAAAGAGAGAGUGNNNNNNNNNNNNNNNNNNNNNNNNNNNNNNNNNNNNNNNNNNNNNNNNNNNNNNNNNNNNNNNNNNNNNNNNNNNNNNNNNNNNNNNNNNNNNNNNNNNNUGAUGGAGCGACCAAGAAGGCAACAACGACAACCUGUACACCUUCAAGAUUGUGAAGUAAAUCUUGAUGGUGAAGUUGAUGACAAUGGAGAUUUAGUUCACUUUGCUUUUCUUGCAGAAUCAGAACCUGUGAGACUUGCCGAUGCCAUUCAACACCCGAAAUGGCAAAAGGCUAUGAAUGAAGAAUUGAUGGCGAUUGAGAAAAACAAUGUCAUGACUCAAAUUGGGAAGGUUGUUCCAAAUCAGAAUUAAGGGAGGAUGUUGGUUAUUAAUUCAUAUUUUAUUAUUAUUAAUUCAGAUUUUAUUACCCUUAAACUAUUUUACCGUUAUAUUGCAUUAAUGGUCAAUUUACAGGCCUGUUAGUAUUCCUAUUUUAUAGCUUCCAGUAAUUGUGAUUUUAUUAUAUAUAUGAUUGAGUAAAUCAAAAUGAAUAACUUUAGUUUUGUAAUUUUUUGCAAUUACGUUCAAUCGGUUGCUAUAACCUUUUGCCUUCUCUUAUUUCCUUCAAUUAGUUCCUACACACUCACCAUUUAACGUUUUGUAUAAAGUGACGUUUUAUGUGUAUAAUUAAAAUUGUCGUAAUUUAUUUGAUCGGAAAACGAUUUCAGUGAAAAAACAACACAUAAACAUCACUAUAUACUAUACAAUAUGAUGUUUUUAACUAUCAUUAUUUUAAGAAAAAUUUGAAAAACAAUACUUAAGUUUCAAUAUACGUAAAUUGAAUACUAAAUAAAUAGAAUUCAGUCACCAAUUUAUAAUCUCAUUAUUUAAUAAAUUUGUUUUCAUAAUUAAACAACUAAACAAAUUUAUAAUACCAUUUAAUUAAAUCUAUUUUCACAAUAAAAAAAUUAAAUACUACUCAUAGUUAUAAUAAACAUUCAUUUAUUGCAUUGAAAACUGAACACAAAAUUAAUAGUUGUUCAAAAGUACACCAAGAUAAAUACACAAAAUAUUUUUAAAUAUGAUAACAUCUUAUUAGACUAUUACAAUCAUCUUCCUUAAUAUUUACUUCCACCACUUGAUUCUAUUAUUUUGUUGGGUGAUAAAGCACAAUUUCCAACCUAAGGUGCCUACAUCUAAUGCUUAAAAUAGAUAAAAAAUAAUUUCAGAUUAUUCAUUUUCAAUUUUUAUAAUUAUAAAAUAAAAGAAGACAUUAAUAAUAAAUAUUUAAGUAUAUUAAGUUAUACCUCAUUCCAAUUGACAUAAUUUUAGGUUAUUUGAAAAACCUUUCUUUAACAUCAUUAAAAGUUCUAGAUGUAUUAUAAACUAGAGAGUUAUAAAAAUAAAGAAAUGUAUUUUUCUAUUCAAGAAUAACAAUUAAAUAUACAAUCAUUGUAAUUUUGAAUUUCUUUACAGUUUUUAUUAAAAAAAAUUACAAUUGCAAUUACAACUACAACUAAUUUAUUUUAUUGUUAUCCUUAAUGGGAUGUUUUUUCUUACUCUUGAAAGAAAUAAAAUAAUGUAUAUAUUUGUAGUAGGCAAAGCUGUAGUAGGCAAAUAUAGGUUUCAAUAUUUUUCCAUCUUCUAGCCUGAAACAAUCUCAAAUUAUAGAAAAGCUUAGCAUUUAGUUUGCUAAAUGUAGACAACACUAAUAAUUAGCAAGAUAUUGAUUCUAAUUAUCUAGUGGUCUGUUGGAGAGAGUUCAUAAAAUUUAGUUAAAGCGAGAUUGUAGAUAAUCUGCUGAAAAGAGUUAUUUAUGUAUUUUUCAUUAAUUUCUCAUAGAAAUUAAUAGUAAACGCUCUCUCAACCAUUUAAACAAAUGUCAUUUUAAUGUACAAUCAACAAACCAAUGUCAAUGAAGUCUAUGUUUCGUUAAAGCCACGUAAGAUUUUACUUGAGUGAAUGAAUAUUAUGGUAAAGAAUACUUUGUUUUAGAUGAUUAAGGCAAGUAAAAUAAGAAUAUGGAAUGUGUGUACGGUAAGUUCGUUAAUUUAAGAUUUAUUCAUAAAGAAUCAUUUCAUUGAUAUAAUAGGUUUCUAUUUGUUCUUAGAUUUUUUUAUGAAUAAAUAUAGUCUACUCAUAUAUUGUUUUUGUUAACACAUGAAUUUUAAUAUAGUUUUUUAUUUUUAUUUUUUAUUUUUUUUAAUAAUAUAUUUUUUCAUGUGAUGACACUCACAUAUUAUUGCUAUUACUUGAGGUGUCAACCUAACUGAAAUUUCAAGUUAUAUAAUGAUGCUUGACAUGAAAGUUUUUUAUAAAAAAAAAAUAAAAAAAUUAUAUUUGGUUCAUACAUAUACAUUAUAUACAUUUGAUCCAUUUAGAUAGUAACGUUCUAAUGAAAAAGUAAAUUUAAUAUACUUAAACAAAUAUCAAUAUAUUUGGUUGUUGGAGUUGCUAAAUAUAAUGUGUUUCUUUUUCCUAUGCCACAAGAAAAUUUUGUCUUUAACAUUGGUAUACAUAUCUUAGACCAAAUUGACAAAUGGUUACCGAAAUUGAAAAAUAUUUUUUUAGUAAAAUAUGUUUUUCGUCAUUCUAAAUUUUUUUAAACAGUUUUUCUUUCAAUUAUUUUGACUUAUUUUCAUACAUCUGUUUGGAAUUUGAGUUUUGGUUCUGGAGGUAACAUUUAAUAGCGUUUAUUAAGCACUAUUCAAACUACUCUAAAUAUAAAAGUGGUAUAUUUUAAAAAUAAUGGAAAAAAUAUUUAGAGUGAUAAAAAUAUAAUUUUGAGAAAUAUAAAUAAAUAAUAUUUUUUUUCUGCGUUUGUUUAUUGCAACGUAGGGAUCAGAAUAAACAAAUUAAGCCAAUUUUAUGUAUGUCCACUUCUUUUACUGCAAACUAUAGCAUAUAAAAAUUCUUGUCCAGAUGAUAUUAAAAUUAAAAAAAACUGUAAAUUAAGUUGUUGUAAAGUGUGUGAACUUUAUAUAUAUCUCUUAUAAUUAAAGCAUAGGUAAAUUAAGGUGAUAAAAAUUGUAAAUAUAAUUUUAAGGAAUUAGUUUGAGAACCCAAUUAAAGAAGUAUUUCAUGACUUACUUAAAUAAAGACGAGACAUAAAUAUAUUAUAGUAAAUAAUGGAAAAAUGAUCGAAAUAAAUUUUUAUAUCCUGAUUGAGAAACAAUAUUAAUAAUGCAUUUGAUUUUUUUUGUACUUUAAAUAUUUCCAAAUUAUUCUAGGACUAAAAGUUCCACCACAUGUAGAACUGUGGCGGAAAUAUCUUUCCAUUAAUAUCGUGUGUCUUAUAUAAACACUUGAUAUGCACGUAUAUAAUUGACGCAGUCAAAUGACAAUAUACUUUGAAAUUAAUAAUUAUUGAUUUAUUUUUAUCAGUUGAACGUAGGUAUACACUAACAUUUAAUUUAAUGUGUUAAAAUUUUCACAUCCAUUAAAAAUUAGAAUAUUAAAUGAAUACAAAAUAUAAUCCAAACUCUCUAUCGAAGUUAAAUGAAUUUGAACAAAUCAUAUAACUAAUUCGACAUCAGAAUUCAUAUGUUCUUUUCAUCAGACAACAACAACCCAAGUUGUGUGGCUUCUUCCUCAUCAUCAACUUAUAAUUUCUAACCUCUCUGGUACGCUUGUUAUUACAAGGCUAUUUUUUUUUUUUCAAAUUCCAUAUAUUAUGUAUUGUAAAACACAUAAAUUCUUUUAGGUGAAACUUAUGUGUCAACUUUCAAUCAAUAUUCACUGUCGGUCAUUAAUUCAAAUUUUAUUUACUAAAUUAGAGUUUGAAUUAGUCUUGAAUUGUUGUCCUAGUUUACAGUCAGUAUUACGUUAGUGGUUUUGAAAGUGUACAAGGCUAUUAGUAUUGUGUUAGUGUUUAGUUAUUACUUAUAUUUUAUAGUUUUUGGUAGUUGUAAUUUUAUUUUUAUAUAUUGUCGAAGUAAAUCAACAAAAUGCAUGCAGUAUAUUGUCUUCUAUUAUUUCUUUCAAACAGUUUCUACAAUUGUUAUCAAAUCCAGAUUGUCUGUUAUCAUGAAAUCUACCUAAUUAUUGGUCCCUAUCUUUGAUUGAAAAAAAUUACAAUCGAUGAUGCGUGCAGAUGAGAGUUUUGUUCGAUUAUCAUGAGUUAUGGGAUGUCAUUGAGAAUGGAGUGUCUGCAUUAGCUGCUAAUGCAACUGAGACGCAAUGAGUAGCGCAUCGUGACCAGAAGAAGAAGGACAAUAAGACUUUGUGUCUCAUCUAUCAAGGGAUGAAUGACGAAACCUUUGAGCAGAUAAAAGGAGCAACAACUGCAAGUGAAGCUUAGACCAUUUUGUUAACCAAUUAUAAAGGCGAUGACAAGAUCAAGAGGGUGUGCCUUCAAACUUUAAGACGCCAAUAUGAACUGCGGUAGAUGGAAACCACAAAGACUGUUGAUGUUUAUAUCAAUAGAGUUCUUGCCUUAACGAAUGAGAUGAAGACCAAUAGUGAAACACAUUCGGAGCAGGCAAAGGUGGAGAAGAUUUUGAGGUCUUUAACUCCCAUAUUUGAACAUGUUGCCGCAAUUGAAAAGGCCAAUGCCCUUUUAACAAUGACAGUAAGGUUAUUGUCCGGUUCCCUACGAACGUAUGAGUAGUGGAUGAAUGACAAUAAGAUUGAAAAACCAAUUGAACAGGCUUUACAAGCACAAUCCUCAAUUCCAAGCCUCAAUUGGUAACUCCUAUCAUAAGCACGGUAGUUCACAAGGUAGAGGACGUGGACGUGGUGGUAGCUAUUCCAAUAAAGGUUGUGGUGGCCAGAACCAUGGAGGUGCUGAGCAAAACAACACUGGUUCCAAUCACAAUCUGAGUUCAAAUAACUCUUGGCGCGAAGGACGUGGUCGCGGAGGACGUAGGGACAUGUAUAAUAAAUCAAAUGUGUAAUGUUAUAACUACCAUAAGCGCGACCAUUAUGCAAAUGAAUGUAGAUCAAAAGGUGAUAAUCAUGCUGUCAAUUGUGCUAAAGAAGACUAUAAUCACGAACAAGAUCAAGAGGAUCAUGCAUUACUAAUGGUAGCCAUAUCAAAUGAAACUCCAAACAAUCAGACGUGGUAUUUAGAUACAGGUUGCAAGAAUCAUAUGUGUGGUCAGAAGGAGCUGUUUGCAUAUUUGGAUGACUCAUUUCGCACAAAAGUGAAAUUCGGUGAUGGCAGAUUCGUUUCGGUGACUGGAAAAGGGCAGAUUCUUAUCACAUUGAAGAAUAGUGAUCACAGGUAUAUCUAUGAUGUUUUCUAUACCUGAUAUGAGAAGUAAUCUAUUGAGUAUGAGACAGUUUGCCGAAAAGGGUUACGUGAUGCACAUAGUUGAAAAUCAAUUCUCAAUUUUUUAUAAAGAAGGUAGCUUGAUUCUUAAAUUUUUUUUAUAAAAAAAUCGCAUGUUUCUAGUAUAUUUUAAUAUGGGUGAUUUCAAGUGCUUGAAUGCAAUAAUGAAUAAUGAAUCGUGGUUAUGACAUUUACGUUUUGGCCACUUAAAUUUUCAGAGUUUGGAAAAAUCUCUCCAAAUUGGUUUACCCCAUAUUCAUUACUCUGAUCAAUUGUGUGAGGCUUGCAUUUUUGGAAAGAAUCACAGGAUACCAUUUGUUAAAGAGUCUUGGCGUGCGAAAUUUCCUUUGCGCUUGAUCAUACAGAUGUUUGUGGUUUGAUGAACAUAUCAUCAAUUGAAGGUAAUUCGUAUUUUCUAACCUUUAUUGAUGAUUUUUCAAGGAAAACCUUUGAAAAACAAUGAUGAGGUAUUCCACUACUUUAAAAUAUUUAAAGCAUUUGUUGAAAGACAUAGUGGCAGACUAAUUAAGAUGGUGCGUAGUGAUGGAGGGGUGAGUACAAGUCUAAUGAGUUCAAAAGACAUUGUGAAGAACUUGGGUUGCAGCAUAACAUAACAUGUCCCAACACUCCUCAACACAACGGAGUAGCCGAGAGAAAGAAUAGAACAAUCAUGGAUAUGGCGAGGAGCAUGCUUAAAGCGAAAGGUAUGCCAAAUUAUUUUUGGGCUGAAGCUAUAACAUGUGAGGUAUAUUUGAUAAACAUAUCACCCAUUUGGAGUGUUCCUAACACAACUCCGAUUGAGGCAUGGAGCGGAUUCAAACCCAAUGUGCAACACUUGAAGGUAUUUGGGUCAAUUACUUAUGCUCAUGUCCCCAAGGCAACAAGAUCGAAGUUGGAUGAUAAGGCAAUGUAGAUCACUUUCAUUGGAUAUAAGCAUGGGGGAUACAAACUGUACAAUCCAAUGACAAAGAAUGUGAUUGUUAGCCGUGAUAUUACAUUUGCCGAAGAUGAGGAAUGGCAAUGGAAUGCAGCAGUUGAAAUGGAUUCGAAAAAACGAUAUAUUUACAUUUUGAACGAUGAUGUGAAAGAUGGAGUAACUCUUGAAGCACCUGUCGUUCAACCUGAAGUUGUAAUUCAACUUGAAGUUGCAGCUCCAAUUGCAACUACGAUGGAGCGACGAAGAAGGCAACAACGACAACCUGUACUCCUUCAAGAUUACGAAGUAAAUCUUGAUGAUGAAGUUGAUGACAAUGGAGAAUUGAUUCACUUUGCUUUACUUGCAGAUUUAGAACCCGUGAGACUCGCAAAUGCCAUUCAAUACCCCAAAUGGCAAGAGGCUAUGAAUGAAAAAUUGAUGGCGAUUGAGAAAACAAUACAUGACAACUCACUGAUCUUCCGAAAGGACACAAAGCAAUUGAUGUGAAGUGGGUGUACAAGAUUAAAGUGAAAGCAAAUGGUGAGAUUGACAGAUACAAGGCAAGGUUGGUAGCAAAAGGAUUUGAGCAAAGAGAAGGCUAUGAUUACGAAGAAAUAUCUUCUCCUAUAGCUCGAAUGGAAAUAGUGAGAUUAAUCAUUGCUUUGGUUGCACAAAGGCAAUGGAAAAUUCACCAAAUGGAUGUCAAGUAUGCGUUUCUAAACGACCUACUUGAUGAAGAGGUUUAUGUAAAGCAGUCGUCGGGUUUCAUACAAUCCGGCAAAGAGGAGAAGUUGUACAGACUAACUAAGGCUUUAUAUGGUCUUAAACAGACACCAAGAGCUUAGAACAAAAGGAUUGAUUCAUUUUUCUUCAUGCCACUGGAUUAAAAAAAUGUGCAUCAGAUCAUGGUCUUUAUGUAAAGACUAAUGAUUAUGGAGAUUUGCUAAUUUUAUAUCUCUAUAUUGAUGAUGUGAUUUUUACAGUAAGUAAUCUCAAAAUGAUUGGUGACUUCAAGCAUAUCAUGAUGAAGGAAUUUGAGAUGUCUGAUCUCGGUCUUAUGUCCUACUUUUUGGACAUUGAAGUCAUCCAAGGAGACGAUAAAAUCUUUAUUCAUCAGAGAAAAUUUGCUGCUGAGUUUUUAAAGAAGUUUAAGAUGGAGGAUUCAAACUCAGUUAAGACUCCAAUUGAAACUGGAAUUCAGCUUACGAAGGAAGGUGACUCACUUGUACUAGACUCGACUUAUGUUAUGCUGUGGGAUUGGUUCGUCGGUACAUGGAGUCACCUCGACGGGUUCAUUUACAAGUUGUAAAUAGAAUUAUGCGCUACAUCAAAGGUACUACAACUCUUGGUCUAUUUUACUUUUCAUCUAAGAAGAUUGAGAUUGUCGAAUACUCAGAAAAUGAUUGGGGUAGAGAUUGAGACGAGAGGAAGAGCACGAGUGGUCAUUGUUUUAUGCUCGGAAAAACUGUUUGUUUGUGGUCAUCAAAAAAACAGUCAAUUAUUGCAUUAUCCACUUGUGAAGCUGAGCAUGUAACAGCAGCAACAAGUGCUUGUAAAUCAAUUUGGCUCAACAAUAUUAUGACUCAAAUUGGUAUUAAUCUCGAUGUUCCAAUCAAUAUUUAUUUUAACAAUGUCUCUGCAAUUAAUCUAGCAAAAAAUCCGGUUUUUCAUCAAAGAAGUAAACACAUUGAUUUUCGAUAUCACUUCCUGCGAGACCAAGUUAGGAAGAACAAAUUAGAAUACUGCAGAUCAGAAGAUCAGAUAAUAGAUAUUCUAACUAUGCCAUUGAAGAUCGAUGCUUUCAUCAAGUCAAGAGAUCUGUUGGGCAUGAAGGUUGUUGGUCAUUAAUUCAAAUUUUAUUUUUACUAAAUUAGAGUUUAAAUUAGUCUUGAAUUGUUGUCCUAGUUUACCGUUAGUAUUGCGUUAGUGAUCUAGUGGUUUUGAAAGUGUAGUCCUAGUUUAUAAGGUUGUUAGUAUUGUGUUAGUGUUUAAUUAUUGCUCCUAUUUUGUAGCUUCUGAUAGUUGUAAAUUUUUUUUUUAUAUAUUGUAAAAGUAAAUCAACAAAAUGUAUGAGUUCAGUACUAUAUUGCCUUCUAUUAUUUCUUUCCAAUAGUUUCUAUACUUUCUACCAAAUAAUCUGUGAUAAAUUCCCUUUUGUACAAAAAGGAAAACAAUUUGAUGUAAAUAGUCGAAAAUUGAUCAAAGAUGGUUCUAUUCUUGAAAACCUAAAUUUAUAAGAAAAUUGACAUAUUAAAAAGAAAAUUCAGUGUAGAUUAGAAUUUAUGUUAUUAUUUUAAAGUGUCAAUAAAAAUAUUGUUGUAUCGAUGAGCCUAUCAUCUGCUUAAGACUAAGGUUGUGUACUCAUAGGUCAAGGUUCAACCCUUGCCAUCAGAAAUAUUAUCUAAACUGAAAGAGUUAUUAGGGUUAUUUGGUUUCAACGAGUGAUUUACGAGAAGAAAGAAACUUUCACAAAUCAAAUAAUAAAAAAUUAAUAAAUUUUUUAGAAAAAAGAUUAAACCUUAUUUUUUCACAAAUAUGCAAAAUUUUGUGGAAAAUCAUGGUUAAAAUAUAUAUUAUAUUAAAUAUAUAUUUUAUAAUUAUUAUAUUAAAUAUACAUUAUUAUUUCCUUUAUAUUCAUAUUCAUAUUUAUAUUUAUAUUAUAAUAAAAUAAGUAUAAUUAACUAUGUAAUAUAAUAUAAAUAAUAAUAAUUAUUAAAAUAUUAAUAAAUAUAUAUAAAAUGAUAAUUAAAAUAAAAUACUAAUAAUAAAUUUAUGAAAUAACAACUAUAAUAAAAUAAUUAAAAAAGUUAUAAAUAAUAAAUAAUAAUUAUAAAAAUAAAUAAUAGUAAUAAUAGUAAAAUUAAAAUUAUUAAUUAAUUAUAAAAUUAUUAUCUUUUAUUUAGUUAAAAUUAAUUUAUAUUAAUAUAAUUAAAUUCAUUAUUAUCUAUAAAUCUAUAAAUAUAUAUAUAUAUAUAUAUUAUUUUAUAACUUUUAAAAAUUUAUUAUAUCUAUGAAAUCACUCACAAAAUUUUAUAAAUUUUUUCUUAACUUUUCACUUUUAUUUUACUUAAUCCAAACAAUCUGACUUUAUCUUUAAAUUCACUUUUUCAAAUCUACAGGGGAGUUCUCUGAAGAAGAAAUUAGGACUGCGGUUUGGAAUUGUGAAAGUUCUAAGAGCCAUGACCCUGAUGGAUUUAAUUUUGGUUUCAUAAAGUUUUGUUGGGAAAUUUUAAGGAUGGAUGUGAUGUCAGCGGUGAAGGAUUUUGCGACAAAGAGCCAUUGGCCUAGAGGUUCAAAUGCUUCCUUCCUUUGUCUUGUUCCAAAAGUUGAAAAUCCUUUGCAGCUUGGUGAGUUUAGGCAUAUUUCUUUGAUAGGAUGUUUGUAUAAAAUUAUCUCAAAAGCGUUGUCUCUACGUUUGAAAAAGGUGAUUAGCAAAGUGAUUGAUGUUAGACAGUCUGCUUUUCUUGAAGGUAGGGGUUUGUUGGACAGUGUGCUGGUAGCGAAUGAGGUGCUGGAAGAAUAUAAAAGGAAAAAGAAGAGUUGUGUGUUCUUCAAAGUUGACUAUGAAAAAGCAUAUGACUCGGUUAGCUGGGAGUUCCUAUAUUAUAUGUUGGAAAGAUUGGGUUUUUGUGCUCAAUGGAUUCGAUGGAUAAAGUGUUGUUUAGAAUCUGCUUCAGUCUCUGUAUUAGUGAAUGGCAGUCCAACUGGGGAAUUUACUCCUCGGAGGGGACUUCGUCAAGGUGACCCGCUUGCUCCGUUCCUCUUCCUUAUAGUUGCAGAAGGGUUGGCUGGGGUGUCUAGGAUGGCUGAAGAGAAGAAUUUGAUUGAUAGUCUGGAGGUUGGAAGAGAUAAGGUGAAGGUUAGUAUGUUACAAUAUGCUGACGAUACAUUAUUCUUUUGCGAAGCGAAUACCAAAAGUGUUUUUAAUAUUAAGGCUAUCUUGCUUUGCUUUGAGCUCGCUUCUGGGCUUAAGGUGAAUUUUUUAAAAAGCAGUAUUGGCGGGAUGGGGUUGGAUCAAUGUUCGCUUCAGCGUUUUGCAGCUACUCUUAACUGUAAGGUGAUGGUAACUCCUUUUGUCUAUUUAGGGUUACCGGUAGGAGGUUGCCAUAAGCGCAGUGUUUUUUGGAACGGGGUGUUAGAGAGAGUUCAGGGCAAGCUGUCGAGGUGGAAAGGCAGGUGUUUGUCGAUGGCUGGGAGGAUCUGUUUGAUUAAUUCAGUCCUCUCCUCAGUUCUGUUAUUCUUUAUGUCCCUAUUCAAACUGCCAUCUGGGGUGGCUGACAAGUUAGUUCGGAUCCAAAGAAAUUUCCUUUGGGGGUGGGGUUCUGACAGAAGGAAGAUUGCUUGGGCCUCUUGGAAUAAGGUUUGUGAGCCUCGGGACUACGGGGGUCUUGGAAUCAUUGACUUAAAGACUUUUAACCUGGCCCUGCUAGGCAAGUGGAUUUGGAGGUGGGGGUCGGCCAAGGGAGGUUUGUGGAAAGAGAUUCUUGACUCUAAAUAUGGUGGAUGGAGGAAUUUGAGAGCGGAAGGUAAACCCUGCAGGGGUUCUCUUUNNNNNNNNNNNNNNNNNNNNNNNNNNNNNNNNNNNNNNNNNNNNNNNNNNNNNNNNNNNNNNNNNNNNNNNNNNNNNNNNNNNNNNNNNNNNNNNNNNNNNNNNNNNNNNNNNNNNNNNNNNNNNNNNNNNNNNNNNNNNNNNNNNNNNNNNNNNNNNNNNNNNNNNNNNNNNNNNNNNNNNNNNNNNNNNNNNNNNNNNNACUGGUUUAAUGGUGUUUGGAUUUGGCAUUUGUGCUGGCGUAGAUCCCUCUUUGACUGGGAGAAGUUGUUGGAGGAGCAGUUGAGUCAGUUGCAGCAAGGGGUGAAGAUGGAUGUGGGAGGGGUGGAUAGCUGGGUCUGGAAGGCUGAGGGGUCUCAAAGUUUUAAUGUUAACUCAGCUUAUAGCAAGGUAAGGAGGGUUAGUGAUGGGGAGUCCUCUCCGACCUACUGUAGGUUGUGGAGGUGUAAAGCCUUGCCUUCUGCUGUAUUCUUGGCCUGGAGAGUUUUGGAAAAUAGGAUUGCAACUAGGGUUAAUUUGGUAAGGCGCGGGAUGGUGGUUGAAAAUCCUGUAUGUUGCUUGUGUGGGAAGGUCGAUGAGUCGUCGAGUCACUUGUUCGCCGUUUGUGACUUUGCUUGGAGGGUCUGGUGCCUUUACUUUGAGUGGCUUGGAGUGUCGUUCGUAAUCCAUUCGGAUCCAAUGCAAAAUUUUAUUCAAUUCAGGUUGAGUCAGGCAUCUGUUUCGGUUAAUGAUGUUUGGGGGGCAAUUUGGGUUGGAAUUGUGAGUGAAAUCUGGAAGCAUAGGAACUCGGUCGUCUUUAAUGGAGGAGUGGCAGAUGCGUUAGAAGUUUUUCCCUCAACACAAGUAAAGGUGUGGUCUUGGAUUGCUGCAAAGUCCUGCGAAGUUUAUUUUUCCUAUCCCUGUUGGGUUCUGGAUCCUUUGGCCUGUAUACGGCUGAUUCGGUAAAGCUAGUUAGCGCUUGGUUUGGUUGGUCUUUUGACCGACGGUUUUGGGUGUCGAGUUAGGAGUUAAAUUGUAUGUGUGUUUGUAAAAGGGUUGAACCACCCCUGAAGUGGUUCUCAUUUAUUGAUUUUUUAUUGCUGAUAAAAAAAAAAAAAAACUAAUCCAAACAAAGGAUUAUAGUUGAAUCGAUCUUGAAAAACAAACUUAGAAAUUAAAGGUAUUCGAAAAAGUUAGAUUUUUGUUAUGACCAAUAAGAAAAUAAAAGAUCUCAUUGACCAAAUCAAACCAAUAAAGGAAGCAUUUUCAAAACUUUUCUUACUUACAAAAAAGCUUUUAAAAAUUAUUUUAUUUUAUAUUUUUUUUCUUCUUUUCCAUUCAUUUUUGACAAAACCAAAAAAAAAUUUCCAGAACACCAUCCCAUAAUUUGAUCACCAUAUAAUUUAUUUUGGAUGAGCAUUCGCUAAAUUCAAAAAUUGAAAGUCGAAAUUAUAUUUUUGAGAAACCAAAUUUUGAUGACAUAUGGAAUGACCUUCUUCCACCCUUGGUCAUUAUCGAAAAAAAUAUCUCCAAAAUUCGGAGAAAUUUUCUUUUGAAAAUAAACCAAAAUCUCACCAUGAUCAUAAAUCAGUGCGCUACUUGGAGAAAAAAAGUCCGGUUGAGUCACUGCACACCAAUUCCCACGCUCAAGCUUUUCCACUAAAAUUGUUUGAGAAAUUGAACCACUAAAUCAAAUAGCCAAAUCACGUAAUCACCAAAUUUUCUACUAAUUCACUAAAUUGGUUAAUAACACAAGCAAAUACUGUAUUGGUUUUCAACCAAUUUGAACAAUCAACACACCAUAUUUUUUCACCAAACCUGUACAGUAAAACAACAACACAAACAUAUUUUGUUUCCUGCUCCAAAAUUUGAAUCAUAAAAUGCAGUGAAUCAUCACACAAAAUAAUUUUUUACAAAAACAUUAUCUGCAGCUUAAACCAAUACACAAAUUGCUUCAAAAACUCCACCACAAAAUCAACGCGACUUUUUACAAAUCACUAAUUCAGGAACAUAAUAACUAAACUUCUCUAUUUUUCGAAAAUUUCACAGGAUUGAACAAUUCCUAUUGGAAUUCGCACUCAAAUGGAACUCUAGUGUAGAAUUAACGCACCUCUUACUCAGCUGUCAACGUCACUGGAAUUUCACCGUUUCCAACUUCAAUUUGCUUGAGUAAUUUUUCGUUCGCACAAUACAAAUUGCUUCAAAUUCAGUUUACAAGAUUGGAUCAGAACCACCGAAAGUAAAUCACCAUUCCAAUAAUAUUCUCCGUUCACUGAUUUUAGGUCACCUUAAACUGCUAUUUCCGUUCACCGAUUCCGUUUGUCGGAAUCCGCAAGAGUUCUAUUCACAAAUCGCAAAUAAAGAAUUGCACCGAUGCGCGCCAAUGAAUUCAUUUUUGUUUCUGCCUUUUCAAUAUCGUGCCAAGAACUCCAGCAAAAUUGAUGAACACAAUGGGAAAACGUAAACCGAAAAGUAAUCAACACCAUUGUAGGGCAGUGGUCUCGAACUUGAGAAGAAGAAUGUCACCCAUAAAUUUAUAUGAUGUCAACUUCAAAGCAAUUGACCCAAUGUAGGAUGAUCUUAUGAUUAUCACGUUAGAAGUAGAGAACUUUACACUCAUGAAAAUCCUGGUGUAUCAGGGAAGCUCACUACACAUUUUCUACUGGAAAACCUUUAAAAAGUUGCAAAUCCCAGAUGUUGACAUCCAAAGCUUAUGGUGAUGAGAUAGUGUGAUUAUUGGGAGCGAGUAUAAAUAUGAAAGGUUACAUUGACUUGUUUUCUAAUUUGGGAGAAAGAAGUUUGAAAAGUCAGACUAUCAAGAUCUAAUACUUGAUAAUCGAUACAAAUACCUCAUACAACAUUCUCCUGAGAAGAUUAUCCUUAAAUAACCUAGAAGCUAUAGUGUCAACAUCAAACUUGACAAUGAGGUUCCGUUAUGCAUCCAGAGACAUCAUCACGAUCCAUGUCAACUAAAAAACCGCGAGAGAAUGCUAUGUUAUCAUCUUGAGGAUCACACCCUUAUAUCCUAGUUGAGAUUGCCAAACGACAAAUGAUUGACCUCAAUCCAUAAUAAAUGAUGAUGUAAAGGUCAAGCUUGACAAAGACACAAUCACCAUCUGAUUAAGGCACAAAGGGCAAGAAACAAGGAUAAAGACCAACCUCGUAGAAUCUGAGGCCAAGAUGAUAUAUUGGGUCCCCUUUCAAAAUGUUAACCUAUUCACAUGGACAGUCGAAAACAUGUCAGGGGUAGACCCUAAGGUGAUCUUGCACAAGUUAUUCGUGUAUAAGGAAGCUCACACAAGGUUGCAAAAGAAGACAAAAUUAGGGGAUUAGAAGCGGAAAGUUGCCAAAGAGGAGAUUGAUAAGCUUAUCAAUGUUAGAUUUAUCUAGGAAGCACGAUACACAACAUGGUUAGAAAACAUAAUUAUGGUAAAAAAAGUUAGUGAAAAAUUAAGAAUUUAUACAUACUAUAUGGACAUCAAUAAGACAUAUCCUAAAGAUGUUUGUCCCUUACAAAGUAUGAACUGCAAGAUAAAAGGUCCUCAAUUUUCUAAAUGCCUACUCACAAUAUAACCAAAUAUGAAUACACUCAAAAGAUGGGAAGAAGACGAUUUCUAUGACCAACAACACUAACUGUUUUUCUACAAGUUUGAUUCAACUUUCUAUGAACAAACGACAACAAUUUCUCAAAAAAAACUUAUGCACCCGAAAUGGAUGUUCUUGCAACUCUAACAUCUAAUGCAAAACUAAUAGUAAUGUUGUAACACACAACUAUUGAAACAAAGACUUAUUCCUAAACAUGUUUAUGAUAUUAGUCGCAAAGAUAUCUACAACACUACACUAGUUAAUAAAAAAAAUAAAAUAAAAUAUAUAUAUAUAUAUAUAUUUAUUUAUCUACGAAAGAAAAACUCAAUUUAUCUACGGAAGAAAUCUGUAAGUAACAGUCAAAAUUCGUAGGUAAAUAAGCAUUACCUACGGAAAAAAAAUCUGUAUGUAAUGUGGGCGUAGAUAAUUCAACAUCUUUUAUUAUUAAAAUUUCAAUUAUUAUUUGAUUUUUUAAUUUUUUUUUAAUUAUUAUUUACAUAUAUUAUUUAAUGCCUAUUUUUAUGAUUAUUAUUAACAAUUAUUAUAUAUGUUUUGACAAUUAUUAUUAAAAGUUAUAAGUAAACUAUAACAGGUGAGACUCGAAACCAAGUCCCUUGAAAAAUAACGAAAAAAACUUUAAUUAUUACACCAAACAAGUUUUGUUGUCAUGUUAUCAUUAUUAUUAAUAUUAUAAUAUUAAUAAUAUAUAUACUUAUUAGUUAUGAUUAUUAUUAUUUAUGAAUAUUAGUUAUGAUUUUAUAAUUAUGCAUAUGAUAAUAAUAUUUUUAAUAUUAUAUAUAUAAUUAUUAUGAUAAUAGUUGGUAGGUAAUAGAGAUCCGUGAGUAAUAGUUGGUAGGUAAUAAAUAUUCGUGGGUAAAGUUCGUAGGUAAUAAGAUCUGUGGGUAAUAAUAGUUGGUAGGUAAUGCUAAAUUUACUUACGGAUUCAGAUUUGUAGAUAAUGUUGAAUUUACAUACGAAUUAAAAUCUGUAGAUAAUAUGAUUUUUUUUGUAAUGACACCAAUUGUUAUUUAUUCAAGCUUUAUUAGUGUAGGUUUAAAGAGUUAUUUACAACCGGAUGAAAAGACUUAUUUUGAAUGUGGCGAGGAAUUGGAUUCAAGGAGGGAUCAUAACAAGACAAUCAACAUGUUGGGAGAAAGUUUCAAUUAAAAUGCAAGAAGAAUUACCAAUUUGUCAUGGAUGUAGCCUCGGACAAACAAUAUUUAAUGGUACGGUAUUUUAUAAAUGAAUAAUAUUUAAUGUUCUAUUAAUUUAUUAAUUUAUGUUGAUAAAGUCAAUAAUAUACAUUACCAUAUACUUGAAUAUUUUAAUUAUAUUCAAGUGUUAUUAAUAAACAUAUUAUGAAUUGAAUAGGAAAAAUAUUUCAAUUCAGUAACCAAUUGGAGUGCAUUUAUGCAUACUUUUCGAUUCAUGUUUAGCCUAUAGUGAAUAUGUGAAUUUGAGAGGCUAGUUCAUAGAUUCAACUUUUGUAGAUGUAUGACUAAUUUCUUAACCUAAAAGUUGUUAAUUAUCUAAAUCUUAUUCCACUUUAUGUAUACUUGUAACUAACAAUUUUAUGAGAUUUUUUAUUAACAAUAAAAAAUAUUUAAAUUAAAUAAAUUAUUUAGUGAUGCAAUCCAUAUACAAAACUUCACUUAUAAAAUUGUCUUUGUAAAAUACCUAUUCAAACAAAAUGCAUAUGGCUCUCACAUAAGAACCCAAAAUAAAACUUAGGACAACCCACAACCAUUAUUGGAGCCUUGCCUAUAUGCUACAUAUUCAACAUACCACAGUGGUAAGCAACAGUAGAAAAAAUAAGACUAUAAGGUCUUAGUCCUAAGCAUAAAUGUGGCUCUGUAUAUAGAUUUUACAUAAGAUUUCAAAUAGAUUUACAAGUUUUAAUUUAUUAAAAUAUAUAAAUCAUUUGAAUCAAAUUAAAGUUGACUAAAUCUAUAAUAAUAAUUUACGUCGAUCUAAAUUUUGAAAACUAAAUUCAUGUUUACAAAAUACUUAAUAUUAGAAAAAUAUAAAUCAUGAUGCCUUAAAAGCAUUUUUUUUUGUAUUUAAUCAAUUGUCUAAACCAAUAUUAAUCAAAUAAAUUAUCAACUAUUAAUGAAAUAUUUAGAACAGAUAAAUAAUAAUUUUGUAAACAUAUUUAAUUAAAUCAAAUCAAUAUAACAUGUUUAAAAUAUAAAUUGUUUGAAUGUACAUGACAAUGUUUGUAAUUAUUAUAUAUAUUUUUUACAAAUACACAGAAAUGUGACGACUCAUAUUGAUUUUUUUAAAACUAAAAAUUAAUAACAAAUAUAUUAAGAAUUACAAUAUAAAAAAUUUAAGUUAAAUCCAUUUACUACAAGACGAUAUUGUUAUGGCACUAAAGGAUAUAAAGGACUUUGCAUGGAUACCUAGAUGGAAACCACCAAUUGGGAAAAUGAAAAUAAACGUAGAUGGAAGCUAUGAUUUAUCACUCAGUACAUAUUGUCACAGGGAAGUCUAGAUAUAGGGAUCAAAAUUCUAUGUAGGUCUUUGGCUUUUCUUCUUGUAAUACAUCCAAAGCGGAAAUUUUGGUCAUUUUGCAUGUAAUUCAUAUGUAACAACUAUUUUAGAAUAUAAUAACAUGUCCUUGUAUUACAUAGUUCACUACAAAAUACAAAAUAAAUAAUAUAAACAAGUAAAAUAUCAUGGACAACCAAAUGUUUAGAAUAAGAAGAUGGAUACAAAUAAGCAAUGUUAUGUAUUGGAGAGUAGUAUAUACUUUACCAGUAAAUAAUUUCAACAUUGAAUAUAUCUAGCUAGAGUUGAUUGUUUGAUCCUGUGUCACUGUUUCAUCUGGAAAUAGAAUAGGUUUUGGAGGUAUUUCCAAGUCUUCAAUAUCUCCUUCAAGCAUUUCCACUACUCUAUUCAUUGAGGGUCGAUCAUUUGGUUUUAGUUGUAUACACCAUAGUGCAACUAUGAUCAUCUUCUUUGCUAUUUUAUUUUCUUCUUCUGUCACAUCUUCAAUAUCUGCAUCUUUCUCUUCCCUAAUAUGAUCAUAGAUCCAAAGGGGAAAGUAAAGUUGACUUGAGUGAUCUGCAUGAGGAUUUAGAUUCUUUCUCUUACUUGUCAUCUCCAUCAACAACAUUCCGAAGCUAUAAACAUCAGCCUUAUGGGAUAUUCCUCCAAUAUUUUUAUAAAACAAUUCAGGAGCCAUAUAUCCAAUGGUUCCUCUUGCUACAGUCAUUGUGACAAUGCUAUUAUCUAUUGGAUAUAACUUUGCCAAUCCAAAGUCAGAAACCUUAGGGAUGAAGUUUUCAUCUAGUAAGAUGUUAUGAGGUUUAAUGUCAAAAUGCAAAAUCUGCAUCUCACACCCAUGGUGGAGAUAAGCAAUCCCACGAGCCACUCCGAUUGAUAUAUUAUAUAUCUUUUCAUAGCUUAAAUGUAUAUUUCUCUCUUUUGAGAAAAUAAAUUUAUCAAGAGAUCCAUUGGGCAUGAAUUCAUAAACAAGAGCACGUUUUGAGCCACUAACACAAAAUCCAAUUAAUUGUACCACAUUUUGAUGAUGUAUUCUUCCAAUGGUUGCAACUUCACUGAUAAAAUCUUGUCCAUUUCCUUUGGAUUCGUUCAAUAUUUUGAUGGCCACAGAAGGUCCACUGCGCAACUUUGCCUUAAAAACAGAGCCAAAUCCUCCUUCACCUAACUUCUCUUUGAAACCUGCAACCAUCUUCUUGAUUUCCUUGAAUGAAUAUCUAAUAGGUGCAAAGCUAUUUUGUUCAAGGUAAUUUUCAAUAUUUUCAUACAUUGACAUAUGUCUUUUUCUCCAUUUACAUAUAAAAAUAACAAUUAAGAAUGGCAAUCCAAACAAAACUUUGUAAGCCCAUACCAUAAGAAUAAUUUGUUGGAGAUAUCCUGCAAGAAAUUUUUACUUGGGUGAUUACACAUGGUAUUGUAAAAUGAAAUAAAUUAUUUGUUAAAGUAUUUUUUGUUCACAAAAUCCAAACUUUACACAUCUAUAGUAACAUUACACAAAAGAGUAAAUUUAAUGUCUAUCACAAACAACUAUCAAUAAAUUUCAUUUUCGACAUUGGUAUCUAUAAAAUUGUAUGUAACAUUAAUAUUUCCUAAGACCUAAUUCAUAUGGUUGUAAAAUAAUACAAAUAUUUUUUUAAAAAAAAUUUCUUUAGUUUCUAUAAACUUUUUAAAUUCAAUUUGUGUUCCUCUAACAUAUUUAACAUAUUAAAAAUUAUAAUUAUUUAUCUUUAAGGUAAUUAACAUUUAAUAUCGAUCAUAAACCUUUAUUUAUAUCACUUUGAGGAUUAAAAUUUUAAAUUUUUAAAUUAGAUGAAGAAAAUAUGAGAAACUUUUGGACAAAUUAAAAUUGAAUUUUUAAAAUGUGGAGAAUGUAACUAAAACAUAGGUAAAUUAAGAUGAUAAAAUAUCAAUUAGAAUCAUGUUCAUCUCACUAACCAGACAAAAAAGACUUUGCAUUUGAACCUUUUAUAAAGGUUGUGUUCGAUUAGUAUAAAUCACAAUGUAAUAUACUUACAUAUUAUAAUGUGGUCUUAAGUUGAUGUUUGUAAUACACAUCCCUCGUGCCGAGGACACCGUGUGUUCAUAUCAAAGACAUUGAGCAUGAGAAUCGAGGGAAGCGUAAUAACGGAUAACACGAUAGGCUCAAAUCUCGACUAGAAUAAACUCUUAGUGACUUUGAUGUCAUAUAAGGAUAAUGAGUUUAAGUUUAACUCCACCUCACAAAGUUGGUUUAAUAAGGUGAGGUUUACCACCACUUAUAUACGAUAAUUUGGUCUUAUCUUUAUUCGAUGUGAGAUCUUCAACAAUGUGGUUAAAAUUUAUUAUCAAAUGUCCAAAACAAUGCUUAAAACAUAAUCAUCGUUGAAAAUAGCAAAUGAUGAUGGUUACAACGUAUAAUUAUCAUCACGUGUCUUUUAAUAUAUAGAAAUCAUGCCAACACAAAUAGUGUCAUUUUGUAACUUUUAAUGUUUUCUUCUUCUCCAUUGUAUUGCUCCCACCAUCGCCACUCCUUUGCAUUUGACCUAGUAAGAAAAUUUUAUUUUUAUGUCUUUUACAAUUAGAUAUUUGCUUUCGCUAAGUUUUUCUCAUGUACGAAUGAUGGAGAAAGAGGAUGUCUAGAGCUAGGGAACAAAAAGGAAAGCAAGACCUCUUCUUCACACAUUUUUUUUAAACUCUAACGAGUAUGAUAUGUGGAAAAUCUUCCAAAGUUGGGGAAGAGUUACUGGAAUGUUCAUAACUAGGAAACUAAAUGGGAGAGGACAAAGAUAUUACUUGGUGAGAUUUGUAGAGGUUGUCAAUGAAGUAGAAAUAUAAAAAAAGUAGACGCAAUUUGGAUAACAAGCAUGAAAAAUCACGUUGGUUGACCAAAAUACAAUAGGUUUGAAAAAAACAACAACCAGAACAAGAAUGAAGGGAUAAACAUAGAGCAAAGAAUCGAAAGAACAAAAAAAUGGGUGAAAAGGAAAAAUACUUUACUUAUGCACAAGCGGUAAAACGUGACACUAAGAAGGAAGGUAGAAAAGAUGCAAUGGAAGGAAUAUCGUUACAAGUGUAAUAGAAGGAGAAAAUGUGGAUAAAGAGAAGUUUUGAAGUUAGACUACAUGAUGCAAGUAAGAUGAAUAUGUUAAAUGAAAACUUUAUCCUAGGUGAGCUAGGAUUCAUCAUAAUAAGAUAUUUAAGGGAUAAUCAAGUGAAUCUCUCACCUGAUAAUGAAAUGAAUAUAUAUAAACAAUUGAGGAACACAAUGAAUGAUUUUCAAGCACGUUUGAGUCUUCUUGGUCAUCUCAAGAAACAUCGAGAAAUAAGAUCAUAUAGGUGCGGUGUAGAGGCAUACCAUUAUCCUUAUGGGGCAUCAAAUGCUUCAAAAGGAUUGUGGUUAUCAUUGGAAUGCUCAUCACAAUAAAAGAAUGUUGUUGAGUCUUGAGAAGUGUUAAAGUAUGUGAGAUUGUAGGUAUGUUUAGCAAUUAGGAGUUUCACUAUGAUGUAUUGGAAAAUCAAAGUCAACGGUUCAAUUAUCAAGUGUCGUGGGAAGAUGAUCUCACUACAACAACAACCAAGAAGGAACACAAAUUAAAAUAUUGGGGGAACAAACCAUCGUUAGCAACAAUAGAUGGGAUUAAAACAGAUUCAUUUGAGUCAAAAUGUUGGGAAAUUAAUUAUCUUGAUAUAGGAUAUACACAGGGUAAUGGGGAACAAACCACAAUGGAUGUAUCAAACAUUAAAAGGCCGACCACCAAAGAGAGCGACGCGAAGAUGAAAGGGCCGUUGGUGGGUAAUUACCAAGGGGAGAUCAAAUUUUAUAUCGUCCUUACUUUCCUUUUUUUGUGUUGCAUGUGACAUUUUGACUUCCCUGACUUCUACAUACCAUUUCUCUCAUUAUGAUUAAUAUUAUCAAGUACUUCCUCCUAUGAGUUCACCAUUUUUUCCUUCAUGGAUUUAUUCUCCUGCUUUAUUUCGAAACUUACUUGCCCAAUAAGGUUCUCAAGAAAUAAUUUUUGUUAGAUUUCCUUUCCCAAAUGCCACACUUGUACAUUGAAACCCCUAAUGAUGAAAUUUCUUCUUCCACUUAUACUUGAUAAACAAUAUCAUUGAUUUUCGUCUAUUUAUUAAUUUUUUCCUCAGCGUGGGUUUAUCUAUAGUUAUCAAGGUGUCAAUGGUUGUCAUUACCUUUUUUUAAAUAUUCUUGUCUCUACAAAGAUAAUAGUAUGUGUUGAACAUGGACUUUGAUGUCUCCAAAUCCAUGAAGAUUGGUUGAAGGCUUUGCUGCUGCUUGUGUGUGUGGGUUUUGGGUAGUUUGAAUUUGUAAUCCACUCAUAGAAUUGAUCAAAAGUUGUUUGAUUUUAAUGCAUUUGAAAAAGAUGUGUUUUCAAAGAGAAGUGGAAAAAUAACUAGUUGUUUUAUCGUUUUAAUCGGUUGUUUUACACUUAGAGUUUUUUGAAAGGAUUUGAAACUGUUUGACUUUACUGUCAAACCAAUUCAACCGGUUGUUUCGAAAAUUCAACCGAUUGAUCUUUGAAAAUCCUUAACAAAAUUAUGUUAAGUUGAUUUAAUCUGAUUUAAAUGAUUUUAACUGAUUUUGGAUCUUUCAUUAAUUGCUUUUAACAACUAUUUGGAGUAUAAAUAAGUGGUUAUACACUCCUGGUUGUUAAGAUUUCAAAUUAACAGUUUCAAAUCAGUUUUCCAAGAUUGCUUCAAGCUUUGGAUACUUUCUAAGAGUGGAAUAGGAUUGUUCUGUAAUUAAGAUUGUUUUGAUCUUUGAUCAUUAUCAGGUGUAUUCCAUUCUCUUUCAUUUGACUUGUAUUUCUGUAAAGUACUGUGUUGCAUAGAGUUAGAGGGUGUUCUGAUCUGUGGUGUGUUGUAAUUGUCAAAGGAAGUGUGUGUUCUUGAGGGGUUCAAGAUCACUUCUUUGGUGUGUGUGGUUUGUAAUAUGUGGUUGAUUACAUAUGGAAUACUCAGUGGUUUCUGGGGACUGGAUGUAGCUCUUAGCUUUUAGUUUUAAGUAUUUUUAUAAAUUGCUAAUAAAACCAACUGGUUGAAUCGCAUAAACAACCGGUUGAUUUUCUGGAAAUCAACUAAAACAGUUUUGUAACUUGUGCAUUUUCCUUCAUUUGACUUUGAUUCUUCAUUGGCUUUGUCCAUACCUUCAAAGUCUGCGGAAAAACAUUUAAAAACAUUUCACCCCCUCCAGUUUUAGGCCUAAAAUUCUCACAGUAGCCCUUAGGCCUAACCAAAACAACCUUGUUUUCUAAGAUAACUUGGUUUAAUUAUGGAAUCACUAAUUCAAAUGACAUUUAUAGUCAUUUGCUAUCUUCCUCUAUCGCCUUACUUACUUUGCUAUCCCAUAAAUUAUGCACUCUGAUGAAUUUCAAGCCAUCUAGAAAGAAAUUUUCUUUUAGCAUAUCCACCUUAUUGUUGUCAAGCAACCUUAUGAUAAAAGCUUUUCUUCAACCAUUAUUGCUCUUACUCAUUCACCAAAAAUUGUUUCGCUUCCAUCUACCUGUAUUAGUGUUCAUAUUGUUUUACAAUCUCACUUAUGCUCGUGACUAAUACUGAACUUUCCCCUUUACAUCAAAGUCCCCAUUAUUUUGCUUUUUGAAUUAGUUCCUUCGAGCUUACUUCACUUGAACACCAUUUCUUUGUUCCUUCAAUAUUUUGCUACCAAAUUUAGAAACUAAAUAAUUGGUAGUUAAAACAUUGAUAGCUAAUUAGAUACCAAAUUAGAAACCAUUUAACAAUAAUAGAAACUAAUUUAGAAACCAUUUUUUUUAGUUUUUAAAAUGGUCUCUAAUUUAGUUACUAUAGCAACUAAUUAUUUUUUAUUUCUAAAAUUAGUUUCUAUUUCAUGUUUUUCUUGUAGUGCAAGUGUCUUGAUAAUUUGAUUAUUUUUUUAUCUUAGAGUGUGUUUAAUAAUUUAUAUCACUAUAAGAAAAUCAUUAAAUAAAAAUUAAUUUUAGAAACUAAAAAUAAUUAGUUGUUAUAGUGACUAAAUUAGAGAUCAUUUUAUAAACUAAAAAAAAAUUGGUUUCUAAAUUAGUUUAUAUUAUUGUAAAAUGGUUUCUAAAUUGGUAUCUAACUAGCAAUUAAGAUUUUUGCUACCAAAUUUAGAAUCUAAAUAAUUGAUAGUUAAAACCUUGGUAGCUAAUUAGAUACUAAUUUAGAAACUAUUUAAUAAUAAUAGAAACUAAUUUAGAAACCAAAAAAGUUUGUAGUCUCUAAAAUGAUUUCUAAUUUAGUCAUUAUAACAACUAAUUAUUUUUUGUCUUUAAAAAUGGUUUCUAUUUCAUGAUUUUUUUAUAAUGUAUAUUCAUUAACAAUAUUUUGGACUUUAAUUAUGCAAUUAGAUAAAUUAUAUAUUGAUUCAAAAUGAUGUCAAACUAUUUCUUAUAAUUAUGUUUGUGAUGUAAUAUGAAGUAAGAUAAUUUGUAAAUAAUUGUGUUUAUGAAGGAUUUGUUUGGAAUUAGAUUGAAUGCAGGUUAAAGUUAUUAUCAAAACUGGGGAUGACAACGAGGAAAGGUGAGUGCAAGUUUGACUAUACACAUCCACAUUAACGAAGUAAAAAGUUAUUCUCAUCCUUGUCUUAUCCCAUUAGGUAUAAUUUUUUUUGUCUCAUUCUCAUCCUCAUUAGGUAAUGGGUGUAUCCAUAUUCACGCUCAUACUCGUUCUCACACUCUCCCGAAUAUUAAAUAAACAAUGUUCUUACAAAAAAAGAAAAAAAUCACAAUAAAGAAAAUAUGUUAUCAAAUAACAAUUACACGUAAUAAAAAUUUCAUAACAAUUUCAAUAUAUUGUUUUGAAAAUAUUGAGGAGAAAAUACCUUAGAGAUUUGAGUGAACUUGGUAAAUAUUAAGCAUGAUGAAUUGUUGAAAGAGAGAAUGAAAUUUUGUGUAACAAAAAAAAUAGUUCUUGAAAUGAAACAAAAUUAAGAAACAAGAAAAAAAAAAAAAUUUUAGGUUACCUAAUAAACUAAGAGUUUACAAAAUUUAAUUCGAUAAAAUUGAGGUUUACGUUUCCUAAAAUGUAAUUUAUCAUUUGAAGAAACUCACAUAAAGAAAAAAAAAUGUAUAAUUGAGAAUAUAAUUAAAGAGAAAAUACCUUGAGGAUUUGAGUGAACUUGAUAGAUAUUAAAUAGUUAAACGAUUGGGAGAGUAUGUAAAAUAAGAGUUUUUCAAAUGGAAUGAAACAAAAAGCACGGAUGAGAAUAACAAAAAUAAGUUUUCUAAAUUAUCUAAUAAAUUAAAAAUAUUUUAAUAAUUUAAAAUAAAGAUAAAUAUAAGAACAAGUACGAUGCAAAUAUAGACAUACUCAUUCUCGUCUCCAUACCCAAUUUAAAAUAUUAAGUAUUACUCAUCAUGCUCAAAGUUUAUUUAUAACCCAUUUUUAAAACAAAACAAAUAUUAUAAAAGUUAUACAUACAACAAAUUUUUUUACUAUAAUGAUCAUAUAUUACUUUCACCAAUUAUUCAUAUCAUAACCAAUCAUUGAAAGGGUUGAAAAUUUUGAAAAUAAAAUAAAAUUAAAAAAUAGAAGGUUUAAUUAUAAAUUAUUGUCGAAAGUGGUUGGACAACAAAGAUAAGGAUAAUGAAUUAGACCAAGAUAGUAGGAAGAUGAUGAAUGAGCUAUUUUGCAUAAUUACAUAAGUUAUUUUAUAAACAAGAAACCCUGGAGACUGAAUUGGUUAGAGAAAGGGGAUUUGAAUACAAAAUUCUUUACAAAAUAUGUUUAAAGGAUUGGUAAUUGGCACUUAAUGAUGUGAACAACCUGUUAUGAUUAAAAAGAAAUGAAGGAUGGAUUUAAGUUGCGAUUUUCUUAGCAUUAGGUUGGAUAACAUUGAUUUCCCUACCAUUAAUUCAGAGAAUAAUCUAUUUUUGACUGCUAUAAUCACAGGAAAUGAAAUAAAGGAAGUUGUUUGGGGAUGUGAUGGAAAAAAAUGCCUUAAGACGGAUGGCUAUAAUUUCAAUUUUCUUAAAAGAAAUUGGAGGGUUGUUAGUUAGGAUAUAUUCAACGCUAUUAAUAGAUUCUAUACCUUAGGAAAAUGACCUAAAGUACAAAUGUUUUUUAUCUGCCUAAUUCCUAAGAUUGACAACUCUCCAAAGUUGCAAGAUUAUAGAGCUAUCUCACUUAUAGGUUGUAUUUAUAAGAUAGUUUCUAAAAUUUUAGCAAAGAGGCCAUAAAAAGUUCUGUGUAAAGUGAUUGAUAUUAAACAAUCUUUUUUUUUUAAGGCAAUAAUGUCUUUUAGAUAGUAUGUAAUAGCCAAUGAAAUCAUACAUGAAGUAAAAAAAAAAGAAAAAAAAAGAUUCUUUCAUAGUUAAAGUGAACUUUGAGAAAACGUACAACUUAGUUGGAAUUUCCUAUUUUAUAUGAUGAAAAAGUUAGGCUUUAGCUACAAAUGGAUUAGGACUUGUUUAGAAUAAUCUACCGUCUCAAUGCUAGUAAAUGAUAGUCCUACGAUGAAUUUAAACUCGAAAAGGAGUUGAGACAAGGUGAUCCUUUAACCCAAUUUUUAUUCCUCACAAGUAGGAGGAGGAUUACCAGGAACUAUAAAACAAAUAGAGUGUAAGGGUAUGUUUGAUGAUAUCAAGAUAGACAAGGAUGAUAUUAACAUUAGUAUAAUAUAAUUUCCAAAUGACUACUUGUUUAUUUGCCAGGCCUUAACUAAGAAUAUUUUGGUAAUUAAAAGUAUUCUCAUAUGCUUUUGAAAUAGUCUCAUGUAUAAAAUUAAGUUAGGAGGCUUGAGAGUAAAAAUAUCUACCAUUCAUAGAUACUUUGAGUUGCUUAACUAUUGUAUUAUGGGAAUCCAUUUAAAUAUUUAUGCAUUCCCAUGUGGGGAAAUCAUAGAAAGAAGAAUUUUGGUUAGAUAUGAUAGCAAAAAUAAGAAAGAGGUUAACUAAAUGGAAAGGAAAACAUAUUUCCUUUUGCAAGUAGAAUUACCUUAAUAAUCAAGUUAGUGUUAUCAAUUGUGCCUUUAUAUUAUUUAUCUCUGUUUAAAAUGUCAAUACUUGUAUGAAAGCUGAUUGUUAAGGUUCAAAGAGAGUUUUGUGGGAUUGGGAUCAAGAAGGAAGAAGGAUUGCGUGGGUAAAUUGGGAAGAUAUUUGCAAAUCUAAAUUAGUAGGUGGUUUGGAGAUAAAAGAUUUAAGAUGUUUUAACCAGCGUCUGCUAGGUAAAUGAAAUGAGAUUAGGAAAUGAUAAGGAUGACUUAUGGGUGAAAAUUCUAAAAUAAAAAAUACCUUUCAUGGAGAUCUUUAAUUGAAAAUAAAAAGAAUAAAUGUGAGUACUUGUGGUGGAGAGAUAUUAGAAAAUUAAGUGGGUUUGAAAGGGGAAAAAAUGGUUUAGGGAGCAUAUUUUGUGGAAGGUUGGGUAGGGUAAUAUGAUCUUAUUUUUGAAUGAUACUUGGAUAGGGGAUAAGCCUUUAAGGGAGAAAUAUCCAAGAAUAUAUAGUAUUUUAAAACAAGAAAGAAAACUUAAAAUAAAGGAGUUUGGAUAACAUACCAUUGGACUUGGAAACUUAUAGGUAGAGGAGGGAUUGGUUUGAGUGAGAAAAACUAAUGGUCGACAAAUUGGUACAUAUUAUUCAGGAGAUUACAAUACAUAAAAAGAUCAACUAGAUGAGUGGGAGUGGAAGGGAGAUAGAACUUGUUGGAAUUCUAUGCAAUCUGCCUAUACAUAGUUUUCCCUUAUAAGAGAAUGAUGUAAAUUUUAAUUAUUUGUGGAAAGUUAAGGCAUUACUCAAACCUUAUUUUUUGUUUAAAGGGUAUUCUUGAAUAAAAUUUCUACAAUAGAUAACUUGCUCAAAAGAGGUAUCCAACUAGAAAGAACUUUGUGUGUUAUCUGUAAUCGUUUAGAAGAAACCAAAAUCCUGUUUACAUGUAGAAUUACAAAUCAAAUUUGGAACAUGUGUGAUGUGUGGUUAGGGAGAAUUAUGAUACAUCAUUGUAAUGCUAAACAACACUUAUAGAAAGGGUAAAUAGGAAGGGUAAUACAUCAUGUGGGUUUAAAUAGGAAGGGUAACCAAAUUUGGAAAGUUGUGUGGGUAGAUGCAAUGUGUAAUUGUGGAUACAUAGAAAUAAUGUUAUAUUUAAAAAUCUUAAACCAAAUGACGUAAAAAUCUAUUCUAUGGUAUAUGUUAAAUCGUGGGCAUGGAUAACGAAGAAGUACACUAAGAUCAUAAAAUCUUAACGUUAAACACCUGUGUUUUUUAUUAGGCUACAUAGCCUAGAUCCUUCAAUGUAGUUCUAUGUAGGAAAAGUGUAACUUUUGUGCAUCCUUGGUUAUGUGUGUAUCUGGGCUCUAGGCAACAAAAGCUUAAAUCAGUGCUCUAUGGAUUACAAACAUAAUGGAACCUAGAACAUAAUCCUGGACAAUUGUUGAGCAAAUUAUUAUACUCUGUAAUAAAUUAUGUAGCCUUUAGUUCAAAUUUGCAUGUCCAUUAUUUCAACUCAUAGAUUGAAACAAGGAAUAACGAGUAGUGCGAAUUUUACAUCUGUUUUUGUGUGCAGAGGGGCUACAAACUGGUUUAGAUCACUGUCUGGUGUAAGGGUGCUUCAUAUGUGUAUUAAUUGUAGCUAGGAUUACAACUACUUUCUGUUGAGGUGUUGAAAGGUCUACCAGCCUAGUAAUUAUUUUUUGACAUAAGGGUUUGGACUCUGUAAAGUCUCCUCAUUUUAUAUAUUUUUUAUUAUUGAUAAAAAAAGUGGUUGAAAUUUUUUAAAAACAAAAUAAAAUUAAGAAAAAAAUACACUGACUGUACGUGGGCAAAUCUUUUUUUUUAACAACAUUUAUAUUAAUGAAAAUUUCAGAAGUCCUAUUAAAAUUCUAUUUUAAUAAUUGUUAAAAGCUAUACUCCAGUUGUGUAAUUAAAGCAUUGAGAAAUUAAGAUGAUAAAAUCUUACCUGGUUCUAUUAUUGUCUCUAGCAAUUCCAGUAUUGUAUGAAAACCCUCUGAAAUGAAGUAAAAUGUGACUUUAUAAUAGUCUCAACAGUUAUUCAAAAAAGAAUAUUUUCAGAUUUUGAUAAAGGUUAUAGCGGUCAAUAAGUUUAACAGUUAUUUAUUUUAAAAAUAAUAAAUAUUUAAUUUAAUGCUUAUGUUCUUAUAAAUACAUGUAAAACAUAAAAAAUAAAAAAAAUACCAUUUUUUGUUCUAAAAGUUCGUUGAAUUAUUAGAAUGAUAUUUUGAAGAUAAUAAUAUAUGUAAAAUGAAACAUAAAAUAUAGAUGACUGAAAGUUUGUUUUGAAAAAUUCUGAAAAAGUGGUUAACAGAUUAUCAUUUGAAAAUAUAUAAUUAUGUAAAAUAUGUCUUAAUAUUUGGUUUAGGAUCACUCACCGCAUUUAAGCUUCUGGUUAGAAGAGGCGAAAUAGCAGAAUCGAUGUGGACAAAGGUUCUGACAGGCGAGUUCUAUCCAUGAAAUCUCGAAUCCAUAGUUGAGUGCGGUGUGCAUGGAAGAGUAGGAAUGGUUAUCGAAAGUGGAGAGAGAAGUGGGAGCAACAAGCUUUACCUCACACCCAACUUCUAAGUCCUCUGCUUUUAGGUCUCCACCAAUUGCAUAUGCAUACCCCUUCCCCUCCCACUUCACCCACUCUCCACUCUCCACAUACUUCCCUUUCUCUCCCACCGAAUGGU